rnacentral:piRNA from 1 species
UGGAAGAUUUUUACCUUUGAGGAUGA